UUGUAUUUGAUGCCCAUUGAUAGAUGUAGUGCGUUGCGGUUGUUGACGUAAUGAUUGUGUUUGCUCUCUGAACGUUUCUGCAUCAAUGAUGCCUUGUGCCAACUUUUCUAUCAGUUGUUCUUGAGUCAAUGUGUGAUGUUUUUCUAUGUUUCUUUGUCUUUUGAUGCGUUUGUCAAUCGCACUUUUAAUUUUUGUGUAGAUGCGUUGAUUUUGAUAAAAGUCUCGGCACACUUCUAAUACUUUAUCUUCAAGUGUUUGUGCAUUGAUGCCUUUAAAAUCACAGACAAAGCGUGAAGCAUUCAUGUUUUUAGGAC
rnacentral:snRNA from 1 species